rnacentral:tRNA from 1 species
AGUUCCGCAGUGAUCCACGUCAAAAUGCAAGUUUGAGAAAGAGCCCAAAAGGGCU